rnacentral:rRNA from 1 species
GACGAGGGGUCCUAGCGUUGUUCGGAAUCACUGGGCGUAAAGAGUAUGUAGGCGGCCUUGCAAGUCAGGUGUGAAAUCCCACGGCUCAACCGUGGAAUUGCAUUUGAAACUGCAGGGCUUGAAUAUGGAAGAGGGCAGUAGAAUUCCUGGUGUAGUGGUGAAAUACGUAGAUAUCAGGAGGAAUACCGGUGGCGAAGGCGGCUGCCUGGUCCAAUAUUGACGCUGAGAUACGAAAGUGUGGGGAUCAAACAGG